rnacentral:snRNA from 1 species
AUCGCUUCUCAGCCUUUUGGCUAAGAUCAAGUGUAGUAUCUGUUAUCAGUUCAAAACUAAGUUUUAGCAUUAAAAGCUACACCUCAAUUAUUCCCUAAAUUUUGCUGCCAAACUUAU